AUUGAACGCUGGCGGCAGGCCUAACACAUGCAAGUCGAGCGGAGAUGAGGUGCUUGCACCUUAUCUUAGCGGCGGACGGGUGAGUAAUGCUUAGGAAUCUGCCUAUUAGUGGGGGACAACAUUCCGAAAGGAAUGCUAAUACCGCAUACGCCCUACGGGGGAAAGCAGGGGAUCUUCGGACCUUGCGCUAAUAGAUGAGCCUAAGUCGGAUUAGCUAGUUGGUGGGGUAAGGGCCUUCCAAGGCGACGAUCUGUAGCGGGUCUGAGAGGAUGAUCCGCCACACUGGGACUGAGGCACGGCCCAGACUCCUACGGGAGGCAGCAGUGGGGAAUAUUGGACAAUGGGCGGAAGCCUGAUCCAGCCAUGCCGCGUGUGUGAAGAAGGCCUUAUGGUUGUAAAGCACUUUAAGCGAGGAGGAGGCUACUUUAGUUAAUACCUAGAGAUAGUGGACGUUACUCGCAGAAUAAGCACCGGCUAACUCUGUGCCAGCAGCCGCAGUAAGAC
rnacentral:rRNA from 1 species